GAGACUGAUGACUUAACUUGCUGGAUACCCCUCUAAUAGGUGAAAUAUAACAGUCUGACAAAC
ensembl:snoRNA